CUUUGAGAUAUAGGAAUAAAUUGAUCCUUUUGAAUUCAGAAUGAAUUUGAGACAGCCAAUUUACUGAUUGUUUAACCCAGUGCGAAAAAUUAUUGGAAACAGAUCUAAUAUUUGGGGAUUUUGACCACAUCCUCAAUCACUGCGCGCAGCAUCUGAAACAACACAAUAAAUUUUUUUGUUUACAUUACGUACGAACAGCAGUGCGAAGGUGGUUUGAUAACUGAGGAAUUAACAAGGAAUUUUAUCUUGCCUUUUGUGAAGUGUGUGGAUAAAUUUCAAUAGUUAUUAUAACUGCGGGAAAUAUUGCGUUGCUUCAUUGGUGUUGAGUGGGAAUUGUUUAGUUGUGUUUUUGCAGAGAACAGGAAAGAAGGGUUCGCAUCUUGCUGUAAAAUAUCACUCUCGGAGAGCGAAAAAUAUCAAAGUAUUGUUGAUAGCUGUGUUGCUUUUGCUUCUUGGUUCUUGG